GAUGAACGCUGGCGGCGUGCUUAAUACAUGCAAGUCGAACGGAGCGCUAGAAAUAGUGCUUAGUGGCGAACGGGUGAGUAACACGUAGGCGACCUGCCCCGAAGCUUGGGAUAACAGUUCGAAAGGGCUGCUAAUACCGAAUGAGCUCUAUGCGGUUAGAGGGUAUAGAGGAAAGGCGAAAGCCGCUUUGGGAGGGGCCUGCGGCCCAUCAGCUAGUUGGUAAGGUAACGGCUUACCAAGGCGACGACGGGUAGGGGACCUGAGAGGGUGAUCCCCCACACUGGCACUGAAACACGGGCCAGACACCUACGGGUGGCAG
rnacentral:rRNA from 1 species